rnacentral:rRNA from 1 species
UACAGAGGUGGCAAGCGUUUGUUCGGAAUUACUGGGCGUAAAGGGCGCGUAGGCGGCCUUCUAAGUCGGACGUGAAAGCCCCAGGCUUAACCUGGGAACUGCGUCCGAUACUGGGAGGCUUGGAUUCGGGAGAGGGAUGUGGAAUUCCAGGUGUAGCGGUGAAAUGCGUAGAUAUCUGGAGGAACACCGAUGGCGAAGGCAGGUCUCUGGGCAUUAACUGACGCUGAGGAGCGAAAAGCAUGGGGAGCGAAC